rnacentral:rRNA from 1 species
CCUACGGGUGGCAGCAGUGGGGAAUAUUGGGCAAUGGGCGCAAGCCUGACCCAGCAACGCCGCGUGAAGGAAGAAGGCUUUCGGGUUGUAAACUUCUUUUCUCAGGGACGAAGAAAGUGACGGUACCUGAGGAAUAAGCCACGGCUAACUACGUGCCAGCAGCCGCGGUAAUACGUAGGUGGCAAGCGUUAUCCGGAUUUACUGGGUGUAAAGGGCGUGUAGGCGGGAAAGCAAGUCAGAUGUGAAAACCAUGGGCUCAACCUGUGGCCUGCAUUUGAAACUGUUUUUCUUGAGUACUGGGGAGGCAGACGGAAUUCCUCGUGUAGCGGUGAAAUGCGUAGAUAUGAGGAGGAACACCAGUGGCGAAGGCGGUCUGCUGGACAGCAACUGACGCUGAGGCGCGAAAGCGUGGGGAGCAAACAGGAUUAGAUACCCGUGUAGUC